CGGACGGGUGAGUAAUGCUUGGGAAUCUGGCUUAUGGAGGGGGAUAACUACGGGAAACUGUAGCUAAUACCGCGUAGUAUCGGAAGAUGAAAGUGUGGGACCGCAAGGCCACAUGCCAUGAGAUGAGCCCAAGUGGGAUUAGGUAGUUGGUUAGGUAAAGGCUGACCAAGCCGACGAUCUCUAGCUGGUCUGAGAGGAUGACCAGCCACACUGGAACUGAGACACGGUCCAGACUCCUACGGGAGGCAGCAGUGGGGAAUAUUGCACAAUGGGGGGAACCCUGAUGCAGCCAUGCCGCGUGAAUGAAGAAGGCCUUCGGGUUGUAAAGUUCUUUCGGUGAUGAGGAAGGCGGUUGUUUUAAUAGAACAAUCGAUUGACGUUAGUCACAGAAGAAGCACCGGCUAACUCCGUGCCCGCAGCCGCGGUAAUACGGAGGGUGCGAGCGUUAAUCGGAAUAACUGGGCGUAAAGGGCACGCAGGCGGUGACUUAAGUGAGAUGUGAAAGCCCCGAGCUUAACUUGGGAAUUGCAUUUCAUACUGGGUCGCUAGAGUACUUUAGGGAGGGGUA
rnacentral:rRNA from 1 species